GAAACUCAUUUGCUGAGUUUAGGAAUGAUAGAGCCCCUUUAGUCCCCAUCGGUGAUUCCUUUGAAAAUUCGGUACAAGUUGUUCGAGAAAUAAAUAGGAUCGUGAACAACCAUUGGGGAGGAGAUUCUUUGACAUAUUCAAGCACUCCACCAGCCACAAAACAACUUUGGUGGAGCGAGUUCAAACGCUUAAAUAAUUGGGACCCGAAUGACGAAAUGGAGAUACGAAGAAUAU